rnacentral:rRNA from 1 species
GGCCAGACUCCUACGGGAGGCAGCAGUGAGGAAUAUUGGUCAAUGGCCGAGAGGCUGAACCAGCCAAGUCGCGUGAGGGAAGACGGCCCUACGGGUUGUAAACCUCUUUUGUCGGGGAGCAAAAGACGCCACGCGUGGCGUUCCGAGAGUACCCGAAGAAAAAGCAUCGGCUAACUCCGUGCCAGCAGCCGCGGUAAUACGGAGGAUGCGAGCGUUAUCCGGAUUUAUUGGGUUUAAAGGGUGCGCAGGCGGAAGAUAAAGUCAGGGGUAAAAUUGGGAGGCCCAACCUCUUCGAGCCGUUGAAACUGGUUUUCUUGAGUGAGCGAGAAGUAUGCGGAAUGCGCAGUGUAGCGGUGAAAUGCUUAGAUAUUGCGCAGAACUCCGAUUGCGAAGGCAGCAUACCGGCGGCGAUCUGACGCUGAGGCACGAAAGCGUGGGUAUCGAACAGGAUUAGAUACCCUUGUA